rnacentral:rRNA from 1 species
UACGUAGGGCGCAAGCGUUGUCCGGAAUUAUUGGGCGUAAAGAGCUCGUAGGCGGCUUGUCACGUCGAUUGUGAAAGCCCGAGGCUUAACCUCGGGUCUGCAGUCGAUACGGGGCUAGCUAGAGUGUGGUAGGGGAGAUCGGAAUUCCUGGUGUAGCGGUGAAAUGCGCAGAUAUCAGGAGGAACACCGGUGGCGAAGGCGGAUCUCUGGGCCAUUACUGACGCUGAGGAGCGAAAGCGUGGGGGAGCAACAGG